UACGGAGGGGACUAGCGUUGUUCGGAAUUACUGGGCGUAAAGCGCACGUAGGCGGAUUUGUUAGUCAGGGGUGAAAUCCCGAGGCUCAACCUCGGAACUGCCUUUGAUACUGCAAAUCUCGAGUCCGGAAGAGGUGAGUGGAAUUCCUAGUGUAGAGGUGAAAUUCGUAGAUAUUCGCAAGAACACCAGUGGCGAAGGCGGCUCACUGGCCCGGUACUGACGCUGAGGUGCGAAAGCGUGGGGAGCAAACAG
rnacentral:rRNA from 1 species